rnacentral:rRNA from 1 species
UCUGAUGUUGAAUCAUGAUAAUAUUUAUCACCCACUGAAUCUCACUGAAGCUAAGCAUGGCUGCGCCCGGUCAGUACCUGGAUGGGAGACCUCAUGGGAAAGCUAGUUUGCUGCCAGAA